rnacentral:tRNA from 1 species
GGCGACAUCGCCAAGUGGUAAGGCAGAGGUCUGCAAAACCUCCAUUCCCCGGUUCAAAUCCGGGUGUCGCCU